rnacentral:lncRNA from 1 species
UCUGGCUCUUUAAUUGUCAAUAUAGUUUUUGAUUAUUCAAUAACAUUUCAUGAAUGGUUACAUUUCAUAUAGUAAAUAUAUGGUUUUGUUCUCCUAGGUAAAAAUUCAUAUGCACUAUCAAUUUUAAGGAGAGUGGAGAUGAAGUUAGAUGGUCGAGAUGUAGCUGAUAACAGGUAUAUCCUUCCCAUGAAAACUUUAGAUGAGUAUCUUGUAGUAAAUGUGAAUGACCAUGUUGGUUUAUAUUUCUCCUCAGGGAAAUCAGUGUUGCAGAACAAGUGGAUUAUCUGCUCAAGCAAGCAACGAGUGUAGAUAAUCUUUGCAACAUGUAUGAGGGUUGGACACCUUGGAUUUGAACUGGUGAACAUUAUUCUUUUUUUCAACACGAGAGCUCUUUUCAUGAUAUUCUGUGAUACAUUGAAGAAGCUCUGAGGUAUAUUGGAGCUUAGUCUCCUGAUGCAUGUUGGAACUUUGACUUCCUCAUUUCAAGAGACGUGGCAAUUGGCAAGCAAAUAUAGGUGAGAAAUAUUCUAUUAUUCUUGUUUAAUGCUUUUUCUAGGCUACCUAGAUAAUCUUGUUUAUACAUCCUGGAUCUCCUUGUAACUAGGAGGAUUGGUAGUUUUCUGAUGCAGUCUGUGCAAGCGAAUUUAAGGAUCCAAUUUGAAGGCUGUAGAUAGAGUGCUCUCAUCUUCUCCAUCUGCACGUUCUUCCUUUACAUGAUGCCUUUUGAGAAACUGCUGUGUGUUCCUUAUUUGAAUCUGCAUAUGUGCAAUACUGGAACUUCAAAUCUACAUUUCGCAGCACUUUGAUCAUGGUUCAAACACAGUUGGAAGACAAUAUAAUGUUGUUUCGAAGGGUAGCAUGAUCCAUCCAUAUCCACUAAUUGGCAAUAAUAACCUUUUCAAAGUAUCAUCUGGUAAGAUGAAAAUCUGGAUGUCAAGCUGUGGUUUCUCUCAAGUAUUCCUUUGCAUGAUUCGUUAGCAUUUAUCAAUGAGUAAAUGUUUGAAUAGCUUGUGGAACUGUGUCUGGAAUGACCUUUCAACGUGUAGGUAUUAGCUUUAUUUUAGAUGUAUUUAUGUAUGGAUAUGUACGCCAUGCUCUUUAAGACUUAUUACACUACUCUUCAAUUGUUUGUGCAAGUUUUUGUUCUGAGCCUGCCUCUUGUUUAUUUGUUUGAUAGGUCUAUUGGUCACUUCCUGUUUGAUGCUGACGAAGCAAUGUGCACUUACAACAGCUGCUUAUAGACUUUGAUGAGGGUUGGGUAAUGUCAUGAGAAAUUUGACUUUUGACUGAGUGCAGUGAGAGAUCCAAUGUUGGGUACAUUAUUAGCUCCUGCUGUUGCUAGUUGGGGUCUGGCUUUACCAUGAAGCACUUGGUAUAUCCUGUAAAUAUCUGUAAUGAUUGUAAAUGUUGAAGAGAUUUUCCUACACAGCCAUAUUGGAGCAAGUGGCUGGAACGGACCUGAUCUGUGCCUGCCACCAUCGUCCAUCUCUCGAUCAUACUGUCAUUGGCCACUGGAUGCUCACAGGGACGGGAUAGGAAAGAUAUAAAUGCACUUUUUCAAGUCUCUGAGAGUUUGCUGGACCCACAAAGUUGCUUUUUUGGGCAAUUCAGACGAGUGGAAUCCAAAUGGCCCUUUCAAGUAUUGUAUAAAUAGAAGUAGUAAUUUAAUAGAUUACAACAGGAGCUCAGAUUGCAUGUUAGGUUUGUAAAUUAGACGAGGUGUUUUACUGAUAUAACAUGCACAGAGAUAUUUGUGAAUCUGUAUAACGAACGAACAAACUCAAAAGAAAAAAAGAGACGCACUUUUCAGUCUUUUUUCUUUCAAUCACAUUCAAUGAUAUAUAUGAACAGUGACAUGAGAUAUUCGAACAAAAUAUCUAUGCAAUUUUCUCUUUUUCUUCUUGUGAUGUGAGGUUGAAAAAGUUUAGAAAGGAAAAUAAAGACAAGAAGAAUGUGAUAUUUAUGAGUAUGCCAAGUUAGUCACGCAAUAAGGCUCAAGUUGUAGUAGCUGUUGAAUUGAACCCAUCUUCACAAAUGGCUCCAAAUCAACCCGUCUUGUAGUGGCGAAUCUAGAAUUUCUAAAAUAUGAUUGCACCAUCAAAAAAGAGAUAAAAUGUAUUAAGUGGGAAUUGAUCGUGAAUCAAUAUAAUAAAUACCUAACCAGUAUAAAAAUAAUUAUGGAGGUGCGGGGAAUCGAACCCCGUGCCUCUCGCAUGCGAAGCGAGCGCUCUACCAUAUGAGCUACACCCCCGUCGCUUUUUAUAAUCUUACAUUAUAAUUCUUGUCAAAUAUAUUCUAUUCAUGCCAUAUUUUCCUUCAAUAAUUUGUCCUUCCAACAAUUUUUUAACUAAUAAGUGUAUGAAUUUUGAGAAUUACAUACUUACUCAUAUUCUAUAAUAUUUUUAAACUAAACAUUUUACAAACUAAUUGUUUAUUUACUUAUUUCCGCGUAUUUAAUAGUUAUCCCAUUAUAAUUUGUUUGCCUUAUUUUAUUUUUUUAGUCUGUUUAAAAAAAAAUGUUUAUUUCCUUUUCUGACAACUCUUUAAUUUCAACUUUCAAUUUGGUAUGUCUAAUACCACAAGGUUAAAACACAUUUCGAUAUGUUCUUAUACAUUUAGUUUAACAUUAUAAAACUCAAAAAAAUUAUUUACUUUCUUAAAUUCAAUGUCAAGUCAAAAGUAAGAAUACUUAAUUAGUUCUUAUAUCAAUCAAUAACACAAUAUUUUAAAUAUAUUUCUCUGAUAAUGGUACAGUGCUUCAAAUAUUAGUUGCUUUAGUUUACAAUAAAUAUAAAUAAUGGAAGUUUCUUAUCAUCACAACUCAGCAAGUAUUAGGCAAAUUAAUAGAUACAAAUUACUAAUAAAUAACAAAAAUAAAAAGUUAGGCAAAUAGAUAAUUAGAAAAGGUCAUAGCAAACACGUCUGGAAAGUCACCUCUAUCAAUACUCUUUUGUAAUGACUUGGAAUGCAAUAAUUUCAUAUACAUUAUUGGAUAAGAUCAUACACAAUUAUUAUGAGUCAUGCGUACACGUCCAAUUCGGAUUGGCUCUUUUUUUUCUGUCUAAUCCUCCACUAUACGUGACUCGAAUUCACAAUUUUAAAUUGAAGUAGAAAAUAUUUACGAUCUAAAUAAGCUUUUUGAAUUAAAAUUGGAUUUUUGUUCACUUCAAGCAUCAACAACUAUGAAAGGGAAUUUGGUUUUAAAAAAAUAUGAACACCUAUGAAGAGAAAGGUUGGAAAUUGAUCGUUUAGCUAAAUAUAUUUCUUAUGUAAUUGUUUUGUAGUUGUAUUGCUCGCUUAUUUUUACAAAUAAUAACUCACUAAUAGAAUUAUAAAAAAAUUAUAUGUGCUUACAUAAAAUAUUUUACUUAGAUCUAUCACAACUUUAAUUAGAACCUAAUAUCAAGAUCAAUAAUUCACAAGUGCUGCAAUCAAACCACGUAUUCAUUGGCCGACACUAAAUUGACGUGUGAAAGAAAGUAUAGAAAUGGCUUUCACACAUUGUAAUAAUGUAAGAAAAUUUUUAUUUUAUUUUUGAAGAUUCAAAUAAAUAAGUUUUAAUUCAAUAAAAAAGAAAGUGAAUAAAAACAAGAAGAAUUAAAUUAAAGAUGACCAAUCACGUGGUUGAAGGCCUUUAUUAGCGACACCGCCCGUAGAAAUUGAACAGUGUUUUGUCAAUUAUUUAGAACUUUCUACGUAGUAAAGUAAUAAUAAUACAAAGUAUAAAUAAAUGAUUAAAAAAUUUGUGGUCCAAACUUGUCAGUUUAUUCCUACUUUUCUUCAAUUUCUUCCAUGUUUAUCAUUUCACUAUUUUGAAAUAUUAUAUUAUUUGACCCGAUAUUUUUCAAAUUUUUAUCAAAAUGUUUUUAAUGACUACAAAUUCUAAUAUAUAAUAUACUUCUUCCGGAUGCUUACAAAUUAAAAUUUUAGUAGUCAAAUGUAAAAAUCCAUGCCCAUAAGUUAUGACUAUGCUACUUCAAAAGCCGGGUGUUCUUUUUUUAAUUGAUGCUAGUGUUCCUGCUAAGCUUGUGCCAUUAGUUUAUGAUAGUCCUUCGUCUCAUAUUAGUUGAUCAUUAUAUUAAAAAUUAUUGUGUUGUAUUAGUCAGUGGUGGAUCUAGGAUUUAGAGUAUGUGGGUGCCAAAUAGACUUAUCGAUUAACAAUUAUAAAAAUAAAAUAAAAAAAAUGUGUCAGCUGUUUUUUCUUAAAAAAACGUGCUUGGAGCCUUUUUUUCCUUAAAAAAUGUCUGCAGCAAAUUUCUCAAAAAAAUAGGUACAAAUGGAAUUCAAACCUGCAACAUCAGCCUUCUAAAGUUGCCCUCCUACCGUGGCACCACAAGCCAGUUUUGUUCUCUGGGUGUCACGCUUUAUAUUUAUAUAAAUAUUAUAUAUAUAUACCUAUGUAUAUAUAGAGUUUUCGUCGAAGUUCGAGGGUGGCGUGGCACCCCCACACCCCUUCAUAGAUCCGCCCCUGGUAUUAGUUGUCUAUCUUACUCAAUCAAGAAAAUAUUAAUUAUUUUUUUUAUAUUACCCUUGCACUGAAUUAUUUUUUAAAGUGUUACCUAAGAAGUUUUUUUAAGGGUGAAUUAGUAAAAUUAUCUUUUGAUUUAUGAUUUCUUAAACGCCGUAUUAAAUGAAAAGUGAUCAACUAAUAUGAAACUGAAAGAAUCUAUAUUAUUUUACCAAUAUAAAUAUUGCAUAACUCUACUCAUUAUCAAGGUUUAGAUCGUUAGAAGAAAUCACUUUAUUUCAAACUUAUUUUUUAAGAAAAAAUAAAUUAGCAUAAGAACUCUAAAUAAAAAAGGUAUGAACUCAAAGUUCAAAAAUUAUACCAAUGGGAAUAUCCUACUAAAGUAUACCAAUUCCGUGUAAUGUGCCUAUAGAUUUUUUUUUAAUUUUAUUUUGCUACUAAAACCACUCAAUUCCACCUGGACAACCCCACCCCCAACUCCCUACCCCACUCUUGUAAUUAGGAGUACUAUAUAAGUAGAUCCUUUUUCACUUUUCAAUUUCAUAUGUGAGUUUUAUAUACAAAAGCAAGAAAAAAGAGGAAUUUUUUUCAAGAAAGAAAAUGGCAGCAGUAGUUGAUGCUUGUGUUUGUGAGAUUACAAAAAUAAGUGAAAAGGUUAGAGCCAAAAGCCUUUUCUUGUUGAAGAAGAAAAAAAC